CGCCCAUAAUAAAUUCUACCACCAACUAAUCACCUCAAAUCCCAAGACCUAAAGUGACAAAACUACCCUCCACACCAUCAACAAUCCAAAAACCAAACCUAUCCCAAAGCAAGAGGGCAAUCCGGGAAACAAGAGACUACACAGAAAGAAAUUCAACACGCCGUCUUUAUACCUUUCUAGGGCUAGGGUUCUUUUCUUUGGCAGAAGGAAUUUAUUCCCUAUUUGUAAUUUCAUUUGGAUUCACUAUUUGAGCUCUUAUAAAUCAGACGGUCACAAACAGCUGGCUUUGGGGUUUGGUGUUGGUGAUUGGUUUAAUCUGAUCGCUUUCUCUCUGGGCUUUAGCGCCCUCUGGCGGUUGAAAUCCAUGAUCAUCAGCGUCUCAUGGAACCCUCUCCAGUGCGCACCACUCCUCCAGUUGAAGAAGAUGAUGAAUGGGACACUGAUGGAUUCGUGAUUCCAAGCUUGGGAAUAGGAGACCCGGGUGAAAGUAAACCUGGUGGUGUAGAAGAGGAAACAUCUAAACCUCCUUCUCCAAAGGU